rnacentral:lncRNA from 1 species
GUAUUUAUUAUAUAUGAAAGUAUAAAUAUAUAAUAAUAUAGAUAUUCUAUUCUUUUUCUGUACUGAGAUCUGAUACCAGAGCCUCAAGAAAGCUAGUUAGACAUUCUACCACUAAACUAUAUACCCAGUCCCAUAGGCAGACUCUACAACAGCGCUUCUCACCCUUCCUAACGCUGCGACACUUCAAUACAAGUUGUGGUGACCCCCAACCAUAAAAUUAUUUCAUUGCUACUUCAUAACUGUAAUUUUGCUACUAUUAUGAUGUGUAGUAUAAAUAUCUGAUAUGCAAUCCCCAAAUAGGUCACAAUCCACAGGCUGAGAACCAGUGUUCUACAUGAAGGCACAUAAGACGCAUAUUAAACAGCCUCAUUGAGGCAAUAGUUGUCAAUGCCCGUUUUUAGGCGAGAUCAGUAUGCUCCGGAUAUACUAGAAUACUUAACUUUUUCUUAGCUUUAAAAGAUUAUAAUACUAAAGGGGAUAGUUUGCAUAACGCCAAAAAUGUAUAUUAAAAAUUAGACUCCUCUCUAUGCAUUUACAACUUCCCCAGGUUUACAUUCUGUAUUUACACAGAGGCGCAUGAGAUCAGAGCUUUAAUAACAACCGCAGUCACGUGGUGCUCAUUUUUACUUUUCGGAUUUAAAGCUCAGCUUUACAGACGGCUUCAUAAAGGAGUGACGUAGACAACUUCUCCUUUUUCAACAUCACGGUGUUCCAUCCUGUGUAUCCAGCCUGUGUAUCCCCUGCUGGGCAGCAUUAAUGUGCUCUGCCGUAAAUGACUACGGUGCUUUAAACAAUUUGCUGUCGUCAUUAUUUUCUAUUGUGACUUAAUUAUAAUUGAAAAAAAUUAUUUCGCCCUUAAUAAAAAUAUUGUAAAGCUUU